rnacentral:rRNA from 1 species
UAUUGGACAAUGGGCGAAAGCCUGAUCCAGCCAUGCCGCGUGUGUGAAGAAGGUCUUCGGAUUGUAAAGCACUUUAAGUUGGGAGGAAGGGCAUUAACCUAAUACGUUAGUGUUUUGACGUUACCGACAGAAUAAGCACCGGCUAACUCUAUGCCAGCAGCCGCGGUAAUACAGAGGGUGCAAGCGUUAAUCGGAAUUACUGGGCGUAAAGCGCGCGUAGGUGGUUUGUUAAGUUGGAUGUAAAUCCCCGGGCUCAACCUGGAACUGCAUUCAAAACUACUACAGAGAUGGAGAGGGUGGUGAAUUUCCUGUGAGCGGUAAAUGCGAGAAAGAAGAACACCAGUGGCGAGCACACCUGGCAAUCUGACUGCGUCAAA